rnacentral:rRNA from 1 species
GACGAACGCUGGCGGCGUGCCUAAUACAUGCAAGUAGAACGCUGAAGAGAGGAGCUUACUCUUCUUGGAUGAGUUGCGAACGGGUGAGUAACGCGUAGGUAACCUGCCUUGUAGCGGGGGAUAACUAUUGGAAACGAUAGCUAAUACCGCAUAACAAUGGAUGACACAUGUCAUUUAUUUGAAAGGGGCAAUUGCUCCACUACAAGAUGGACCUGCGUUGUAUUAGCUAGUAGGUGAGGUAAUGGCUCACCUAGGCGACGAUACAUAGCCGACCUGAGAGGGUGAUCGGCCACACUGGGACUGAGACACGGCCCAGACUCCUACGGGAGGCAGCAGUAGGGAAUCGUCGGCAAUGGGGGCAACCCUGACCGAGCAACGCCGCGUGAGGGAAGAAGGUUUUCGGAUCGUAAAGCUCGGUUGUAAGUCAAGAACGGGUGUGAGAGUGGAAAGUUCACACUGUGACGGUAGCUUACCAGAAAGGGACGGCUAACUACGUG